GCCUCGGUGGUGUAAUAGUAGAGCACGCGUCCCCGGAUAGGAUGAAACGCGGGUUCGAUUUCCCCUUGAGGCC